ensembl:lncRNA
AUUAAUCAUAAACCCAAAUUGAGAACAUUUUGUUUGAUUCAGGGUGAAUUGGUGUGUGAGAGAUAUGUUAUGUAUAACCUACCUAAAAACAAGAGAUCGCUACGUGCACAGGUCAGAUCAGGGAUAUUGUCUCUGCGUAUUGAAACAGGUCAGAUCAGGGAUAUUGUCUCUGCGUAUUGAAACAGGUCAGAUCAGGGAUAUUGCCUCUGCGUGUUGAAACAGGUCAGAUCAGGGUUAUUGUCUCUGCGUAUUGAAACAGGUCAGAUCAGGGAUAUCGUCUCUACCCAUUGAAACAGGUCAGAUCAGGGAUAUUGUCUCUGCGUAUUGAAACAGGUCAGACCAGUGUUAUUGUCUCUGCGUAUUGAAACAGGUCAGAUCAGGGAUAUUGUCUCUGCGUAUUGAAACAGGUCAGAUCAGGGAUAUUGUCUCUGCGUAUUGAAACAGGUCAGAUCAGGGUUAUUGUCUCU